rnacentral:rRNA from 1 species
CCUACGGGAGGCAGCAGUGGGGAAUAUUGCACAAUGGGGGAAACCCUGAUGCAGCGACGCCGCGUGAGUGAAGAAGUAAUUCGUUAUGUAAAGCUCUAUCAGCAGGGAAGAAAAUGACGGUACCUGAGUAAGAAGCCCCGGCUAACUACGUGCCAGCAGCCGCGGUAAUACGUAGGGGGCAAGCGUUAUCCGGAUUUACUGGGUGGAAAGGGAGCGUAGACGGCAGUGCAAGUCUGGAGUGCAAGGCGGGGGCUCAACCCCCGGACUGCUCUGGAAACUGUACGGCUGGAGUGCAGGAGAGGUAAGUGGAAUUCCUAGUGUAGCGGUGAAAUGCGUAGAUAUUAGGAGGAACACCAGUGGCGAAGGCGGCUUACUGGACUGUAACUGACGUUGAGGCUCGAAAGCGUGGGGAGCAAACAGGAUUAGAUACCCCUGUAGUC